UAGGGAAUCUUCCGCAAUGGACGAAAGUCUGACGGAGCAACGCCGCGUGAGUGAAGAAGGAUUUCGGUUCGUAAAACUCUGUUGUUAGGGAAGAAAAAAUGUAUAGUAACUAUAUACAAAAGAGACGGUACCUAACCAGAAAGCCACGGCUAACUACGUGCCAGCAGCCGCGGUAAUACGUAGGAGGCAAGCGUUGUCCGGAAUUAUUGGGCGUAAAGCGCGCGCAGGUGGUUUAGAAAGUCUGAUGUGAAAGCCCACGGCUCAACCGUGGAGGGUCAUUGGAAACUAAUAAACUUGAGUGCAGGAGAGAAAAGUGGAAUUCCUAGUGUAGCGGUGAAAUGCGUAGAGAUUAGGAGGAACACCGGUGGCGAAAGCGGCUUUUUGGCCUGCAACUGACACUGAGGCGCGAAAGCGUGGGGAGCAAACAGG
rnacentral:rRNA from 1 species